rnacentral:rRNA from 1 species
GACGAACGCUGGCGGCGUGCUUAACACAUGCAAGUCGAGCGGAGCGGCGAACGGGUGAGUAACGCGAGAGUAACUGCCCCCCUCUCUGGGCUAACAGUUGGAAACGGCUGCUAAUACCGGAUAGUGGGGGUUGAGUCGCGUCCUAUCAGCUUGUUGGUGGGGUAUUGGCCUACCAAGGCGACGACGGGUAGCCGGCCUGAGAGGGCGACAGGCCACAUUGGGCUGGGAUACGAGCCAAACUGCUGCGGGGGGCAGCAGUGGAGAAUAUUGCACGAUAGGGGAAGCCAUGAUGCAGCAUCGCCGCGUGCGGGAUGACGGCUUUCGGGUUGUAAAGCGCGUUCAGCCAUGACGCGGUAGUGGAAGAAGAAGCACCGGCUAACUACGUGCCAGCAGCCGCGGUAAUAC